GGGGUUGUAGCUCAGUGGUAGAGCGCUUACCUAGCAAGCAUGAGGCACUGGGUUUGAUCUUCAGCACCA
rnacentral:tRNA from 1 species